rnacentral:rRNA from 1 species
AGUGAACGCUGGCGGUAGGCCUAACACAUGCAAGUCGAACGGCAGCACAGGAUCUCUUGCUCUCUAGGUGGCGAGUGGCGGACGGGUUAGGAAUACAUCGGAAUCUGCCCAGUCGUGGGGGUUCACGUAGGGAAACUUACGCUAAUACCGCAUACUACCUUCGUUUGAAAGAGGGGGAUCGCAAGACCUCUCGCGAUUGGAUGAGCCGAUGUCGGAUUAGCUAGUUAGCGGGGUAAUGGUCCACCAAGGCGACGAUCUGCAGCUGGUCUGAGAGGAUGAUCAGACACACUGGAACUGAGACACGGUACAGACUCCUACGGGAGGCAGCAGUGGGGAAUAUUGGACAAUGGGCGCAAGCCUGAUACAGCCAUACCGCGUGGGUGAAGAAGGACUUCGGGUUGUAAAGCCCUUUUGUUGGGAAAGAAAUCUUUCAGGCUAAUACCCUGGGAGGAUGACGGUACCCAAAGAAUAAGCACCGGCUAACUUCGUG